rnacentral:rRNA from 1 species
CCGGAAUUAUUGGGCGUAAAGAGUGCGUAGGCGGUUUGUUAAGUUCGAUGUAAAAUCCCACAGCUUAACUGUGGAGGGUCAUUGGAAACUGGCAAGCUAGAGUACGGUAGAGGUAAGUGGAAUUCCAAGUGGAGCGGUGGAAUGCGUAGAUAUUUGGAGGAACACCAGUGGCGAAGGCGGCUUACUGGGCCGGAACUGACGCUGAGGCACGAAAGCGUGGAGAGCAAACAGGAUUAGAUACCCUGGUAGUCCACGCCGUAAACGAUGAGCACUAAGUGUCGGGCGAAUGCUCGGCGCUGCAGUUAACACAAUAAGUGCUCCGCCUGGGGAGUACGGUCGCAAGACUGAAACUCAAAGGAAUUGACGGGAACUCGCACAAGCGGUGGAGCAUGCGGUUUAAUUCGAUGCAACCCGAAGAACCUUACCAGGUCUUGACAUCCCAUUGACUAAUCUAGAGAUAGGUUAUUCCUUCGGGACAAUGGAGACAGGUGGUGCAUGGUUGUCGUCAGCUCGUGUCGUGAGAUGUUGGGUUAAGUCCCGCAACGAGCGCAACCCUUAUCAUUAGUUGCUAACAGUAAGAUGAGCACUCUAAUGAGACCGCCGGUGACAAACCGGGAUGAAGGUGGGGAUGACGUCAAAUCAUCAUGCCCCUUAUGACCUGGGCUACACGCGUGCUACAAUGGCCGGUACAAAGAGUCGCAAAACCGCGAGGUGAAGCUAAUCUCAUAAAACCGGUCUCAGUUCAGAUUGUAGUCUGCAACUCGACUACAUGAAGGUGGAAUCGCUAGUAAUCGCAAAUCAGC